UUUAAUUUCAACCAAGAAAAACAUUGCGUCAAACAAGGAAAUAUUACAUUUUAAUUUUUCCUAUCUUCAGUCAGUGUCAGCAAUCAGGUCAAAGCAUGAUUCAUGGUGCCAGUAGUCCUCCAGUGACAGGAAAUUGAAAACACCCAUAAAAAGAAGGAUCGCUAGGAAAUGCUGUAUUUCUUCAGGGCUAGUCUUGAUUUUAUCCCCCAGCUCUUGAGCAGAGUACAAAUUGGUGUGAUGUGUGAUACGUUCAAUCAUCUCAUUAGUGAAGAACAUUUUGAAAUACUGAAAGGGUUAGGUGAGGGCAGAGCUUCAGGGGGUUCAAAUCUUGAAUUCAGAAUCUGGAACUCAUCAAUGUCUUCCUGCUUCCAGAUUCUUCUUGGGCUUUUGUUGUAGUCUGAGGUGUAAUUUGGGUCUGCGUUGUCAUUUUGCUGCUCCAAGGGAACUUCUUCUUGGUCAUCAUUGCUCAGAACACCAUCAGAUUCUUGAGGAUUUUUUGGUAAAAUGGCAAGAAGACUGCGUGGUCUCACAACUUAGAAGGAUUUAUUGUAAAUAGUGGUGGUUGAAAAGUUUAAAUUAGUUAGUAGUAGUGAAAAUCAUAAUUUCCCCACAUUUAUUCUAAAAUGUUACCAUAUUUACUAAUAUCAACUCAGAAAGUCACAAAAAAAGUGUAAGAUAUUGUUGUAAUUAUUCUUAGUGUAUGACACUGUAAUAACACUUGCUUCAUAUUUGCACCAGUAGAGGAAAAUGACUUUUGAUUUUAUACCAAAAAAAUAAAUGUCAACUACAUUAGCUUAAUUUGCUACUUUUACCAUUAAGUGACAUCUCAACCGUUUGGUUGAGCAUAUUUU